UGGGGACUAUUGCGCAAUGGGGGAAACCCUGACGCAGCAACGCCGCGUGAGUGAGGAAGUAUCUCGGUAUGUAAAGCUCUAUCAGCGGGGAAGAAGGAAGACGGUACCCGACUAAGAAGCCCCGGCUAACUACGUGCCAGCAGCCGCGGUAAUACGUAGGGGGCGAGCGUUAUCCGGAUUUACUGGGUGUAAAGGGAGCGUAGACGGCGUCGCAAGUCUGAAGUGAAAGCCCGUGGCUCAACCGCGGAACCGCUUUGGAAACUGCGAGGCUGGAGUGCUGGAGAGGUAAGCGGAAUUCCUGGUGUAGCGGUGAAAUGCGUAGAUAUCAGGAGGAACACCGGUGGCGAAGGCGGCUUACUGGACAGUGACUGACGUUGAGGCUCGAAAGCGUGGGGAGCGAACAGG
rnacentral:rRNA from 1 species